UAGGGAAUCUUCGGCAAUGGACGAAAGUCUGACCGAGCAACGCCGCGUGAGUGAAGAAGGUUUUCGGAUCGUAAAACUCUGUUGUUAGAGAAGAACAAGGACGUUAGUAACUGAACGUCCCCUGACGGUAUCUAACCAGAAAGCCACGGCUAACUACGUGCCAGCAGCCGCGGUAAUACGUAGGUGGCAAGCGUUGUCCGGAUUUAUUGGGCGUAAAGCGAGCGCAGGCGGUUUCUUAAGUCUGAUGUGAAAGCCCCCGGCUCAACCGGGGAGGGUCAUUGGAAACUGGGGGACAUGAGUGCAGAAGAGGAGAGUGGAAGUCCAUGUGUAGCGGUGAAAUGCGUAGAUAGAUGGAGGAACACCAGUGGCGAAGGCGGCUCUCUGGUCUGUAACUGACGCUGAGGCUCGAAAGCGUGGGGAGCAAACAGG
rnacentral:rRNA from 1 species